UGGAGAACAGCACACUGCAACUGCAGACUUCAUGGGAGUGGACCAGGGUCAUCUUCUCUCUCCCUCCACCCCUUUCCUGUAGGCCCAAAUAAUCGCACUCAGACCUGGAAGUAAUAUUAGUCAGGAAUUCAGAAGGAGGUGUCUGUACCUGAAAGCAGAAUGACGUGAAUUUUCUUGUUCAGAUGUGCUGUCAGGAUGUCAUGUAUAAAUCCUAGAAUAACAUGGCACUGCCACUCCUGAAGACUGCAGCAUGUUAUCAGCCUAUUUCAAUACCCUGAUUUAAUGUCUAAGUAAUUUUUUAUUGUGAAUGCAUGCAUCUAUACCAGUGAAAAAUAAUGGCAUAUUGAUCAUUCAGGUCAUUAUGGGGCUGCUCCAGUUUUCACUGAAGACAAUGGCAACAGUCUUCCAUUUUUAUCUUUAACAAAACUGAUACUAUGUUUAAGGCACAUCAUAGAAGGGUAUCUUCACCUUUUUAAUUCAUAUCCACACAACAAAAUCUCUUUUCUAAUCCUUUACACCCCCUCCUAGGAGAGCGGAUAGGUUCAUUUUAAAAGAAAAUAAAAGAUUCCACACACA